UACAGAAACAUUGAUCUGGAGGUCUGCUGAAAGCAGCAGGUAAUUGGAUGAAAUUUAAAAAGCAAGAGGACCAGGAACAUGGAUGUGAAGUCAAGAGUUAUAGUAAUCAUCUUUUUACUGUGACAGGAAUUGGAAAAUUACAAAGAUGCAAACGUUGAUAAUAUUGAGCCACUGAAUCGAUGCCAGCAAAAACAAGAUCCAGACUUCUUGUAAUAAUGAUGCAUGAUAUCAGAGAAAAUCAAGAAGCACAAACUGAAUUUGCUUUAAUCACAAGAUGCUCGCCGGAUGGUGGUAGAAGUGACAAUUUCAGGAAUGUGCAAUUGGAAAGUAUUCUUUUUUUCUAACGAACUUGUGGUAAUCUGGGCUAAGCCACUAUCACAUUCUGCUGUGAACAGUAUACCUUGGGACUAAUGAUCUUCAAAACUAGACAUAAUCAAUUAACAAAGAGGUUGAUUAAAAUAUGUUUAUAUAAAUACUACCCUAAUAUUGCAUUAGUAAGAAAGAGCAAUUGAAACAUAAUUUUAUAGACACUGG
rnacentral:lncRNA from 1 species